rnacentral:rRNA from 1 species
GAUGAACGCUAGCUACAGGCUUAACACAUGCAAGUCGAGGGGCAGCAUUUCAGUUUGCUUGCAAACUGGAGAUGGCGACCGGCGCACGGGUGAGUAACACGUAUCCAACCUGCCGAUAACUCGGGGAUAGCCUUUCGAAAGAAAGAUUAAUACCCGAUGGUAUAAUCAGACCGCAUGGUCUUGUUAUUAAAGAAUUUCGGUUAUCGAUGGGGAUGCGUUCCAUUAGGCAGUUGGUGAGGUAACGGCUCACCAAACCUUCGAUGGAUAGGGGUUCUGAGAGGAAGGUCCCCCACAUUGGAACUGAGACACGGUCCAAACUCCUACGGGAGGCAGCAGUGAGGAAUAUUGGUCAAUGGGCGCAGGCCUGAACCAGCCAAGUAGCGUGAAGGAUGACUGCCCUAUGGGUUGUAAACUUCUUUUAUAUGGGAAUAAAGUUUUCCACGUGUGGAAUUUUGUAUGUACCAUAUGAAUAAGGAUCGGCUAACUCCGUGUCAGCAGCCGCGGUAAUACGGAGGAUCCGAGCGUUAUCCGGAUUUAUUGGGUUUAAAGGGAGCGUAGGUGGACAGUUAAGUCAGUUGUGAAAGUUUGCGGCUCAACCGUAAAAUUGCAGUUGAUACUGGCUGUCUUGAGUACAGUAGAGGUGGGCGGAAUUCGUGGUGUAGCGGUGAAAUGCUUAGAUAUCACGAAGAACUCCGAUUGCGAAGGCAGCUCACUGGACUGCAACUGACACUGAUGCUCGAAAGUGUGGGUAUCAAACAGGAUUAGAUACCCUGGUAGUCCACACAGUAAACGAUGAAUACUCGCUGUUUGCGAUAUACAGUAAGCGGCCAAGCGAAAGCAUUAAGUAUUCCACCUGGGGAGUACGCCGGCAACGGUGAAACUCAAAGGAAUUGACGGGGGCCCGCACAAGCGGAGGAACAUGUGGUUUAAUUCGAUGAUACGCGAGGAACCUUACCCGGGCUUAAAUUGCAUUUGAAUAUAUUGGAAACAGUAUAGCCGUAAGGCAAAUGUGAAGGUGCUGCAUGGUUGUCGUCAGCUCGUGCCGUGAGGUGUCGGCUUAAGUGCCAUAACGAGCGCAACCCUUAUCUUUAGUUACUAACAGGUCAUGCUGAGGACUCUAGAGAGACUGCCGUCGUAAGAUGUGAGGAAGGUGGGGAUGACGUCAAAUCAGCACGGCCCUUACGUCCGGGGCUACACACGUGUUACAAUGGGGGGUACAGAAGGCAGCUACCUGGUGACAGGAUGCUAAUCCCAAAAGCCUCUCUCAGUUCGGAUCGAAGUCUGCAACCCGACUUCGUGAAGCUGGAUUCGCUAGUAAUCGCGCAUCAGCCAUGGCGCGGUGAAUACGUUCCCGGGCCU